rnacentral:rRNA from 1 species
GAGGAAUAUUGGUCAAUGGACGAGAGUCUGAACCAGCCAAAUCGCGUGAAGGAAGACUGCCCUACGGGUUGUAAACUUCUUUUGUACAGGAAUAAAAGACAUUACGUGUAAUGUAUUGCAUGUACUGUACGAAUAAGCAUCGGCUAACUCCGUGCCAGCAGCCGCGGUAAUACGGAGGAUGCGAGCGUUAUCCGGAUUUAUUGGGUUUAAAGGGUGCGCAGGCGGGAUUUUAAGUCAGCGGUGAAAUUUUCAGGCUCAACCUGAACACUGCCGUUGAAACUGGGAUUCUUGAGUAUGGAUGAGGUAGGCGGAAUUUGUGGUGUAGCGGUGAAAUGCAUAGAUAUCACGAGGAACUCCGAUUGCGCAGGCAGCUUACCAAGCCGUAACUGACGCUCAAGCACGAAGGCGUGGGGAUCAAACA